rnacentral:tRNA from 1 species
GGCGACAUAGCCAAGUGGUAAGGCAGUGGUUUGCAAAACCAUCAUUCCCCAGUUCGAAUCUGGGUGUCGCCUCCA